rnacentral:rRNA from 1 species
UACGAAGGGUGCAAACGUUGCUCGGAAUUAUUGGGCGUAAAGCGCACGUAGGCGGCAUCGCAAGUCCCAUGUGAAAGCCCACGGCUUAACCGUGGAAGUGCAUGGGAAACUGCAGUGCUUGAGUACUUAAGAGGAUCGCGGAAUUCCCGGUGUAGAGGUGAAAUUCGUAGAUAUCGGGAGGAACACCAGUGGCGAAGGCGGCGCUCUGGCUCGCAACUGACGCUCAGACACGACAGCAUGGGGAGCGAACGGG